rnacentral:misc_RNA from 1 species
CAGGCCUCCCUCUGCUUGGUUCCAGUCGUGGGCAUGAGUGAGGGGCGAUGCUUGAUGGCUUUGAUGCCAUCGGUGGGAAUGUGUUUAAGCAUCGGCCUUCCCUCAUGACCACGAUGGUCUACAGUCUUGUGUACGAGUUAGUGACGUCGCUUGUUUGUUUUGAUGCUUGCGUUGGAACUUGCUUAAGCAACCGAUCUGACGAAGUACCCAUGAAUGUCACCCAUGAUGGUCUACAGUCUUGCGUACGAGUUAGUGACGUCGCUUGUUUGUUUUGAUGCUUGCGUUGGAACUUGCUUAAGCAACCGACCUGACGAAGUACCCAUGAAUGUCACCAAUGAUGGUCUACAGUCUUGCGUACGAGUUAGUGACGUCGCUUGUUUGUUUUGAUGCUUGCGUUGGAACUUGCUUAAGCAACCGAACUGACGAAGUACCUAUGAAUGUCGCCCAUGAUGGUCUACAGUCUUGGGUAUGAGUCAGUGACGAUGCUUGUUUGUUUUGAUGCUUGUGUUUGAACUUGCUUAAGCAACCGACCUGACGAAGUACACAUGAAUGUCGCCCAUGAUGGUCUACAGUCUUGGGUAUGAGUCAGUGACGAUGCUUGUUUGUUUUGAUGCUUGCGUUGGAACUUGCUUAAGCAACCGAUCUGACGAAGUACCCAUGAAUGUCGCCCAUGAUGGUCUACAGUCUUGCGUAUGAGUCAGUGACGUCGCUUGUUUGUUUUGAUGCUUGCGUUGGAACUUGCUUAAGCAACCGACCUGACGAAGUACCCAUGAAUGUAGGGGGUGAUGUUUAGAGCUGGAAGGCAAGGGGGUGCAAACACCAGUCGGCCUUUGUCCCGAUUGCUGAGUGUUAUGUGCUUGAUGUCCAAGGCUUGAAGCUGACCCUCCAAGUGGGGCUUGUCCCUGCACCAAUGGCUUUUGCCAGGAUCAUGGCGUUUGUUAUGAUCGAAAAACUGAGGGGGUGAUGUUUAGAGCUGGAAGGCAAGGGGGUGCAAACACCAGUCGGCCUUUGUCCCGAUUGCUGAGUGUUUUGUGCUUGAUGUCCAAGGCUUGAAGCUGACCCUCCAAGUGGGGGCUUUUUUGUUCCUGCGGUAACGACUCUGUUGGGAUCAUUGUGAUCAAGUUUGGUUGGUUUCGUAUUGUGGUGGGUUUUUUCGAAGCUUCUAUCGUUCUUUUACGCAUCGUGCGGUGCAUCUUGGGGGCUGUUUUGGCUUUUGGUUGCUUGCUUGGGCUUUAUGCUAGGCGGGUGGCUAAU